CGGCUAGCGGGUAACAAGC
rnacentral:snRNA from 1 species